ensembl:lncRNA
AUGUGUCCCACCUCCCACUCACCCAUUACAACCAGCAUGUCCAGAGAUACAACCUCUCUUAUCAUCACCCAGUGCCUGGGCUUACCUCCACUGUACCCACACCCCACCAUACCCCUGUCUGCGCAUUAUGCCCUGAAUUUAUUCUACCACGGCCAGAAAUCUGCUCCUUUUAUUCUUUGUCCCCAAUGCUCUAGGCGACCAGUUUUGAUAGCCAGGCCCUCAUUUGUUGACUUCUGUGAUCGAAAAAGCCUUGGUUUCAUGCAUGUCAACAUCAGAAGCCUCCUCCCUAAGUUUGUUUUACUCACUGCUUUAGCACACUCUGCCAACCCCGAUGUCCUUGCUGUGUCUGAAUCCUGGCUUAGGAAGGCCACCAAAAAUUCAGAGAUUUCCAUACCCAACUAUAACAUUUUCCAUCAAGAUAGGACUGCCAAAGGGGGAGGAAAUGCAGCCUACUGCAGAGAUAGCCUGCAAAGUAAUGUCAUACUUUCCAGGUCCAUACCAAAACAGUUCGAACUUCUAAUUUUAAAAAUGAAUCUCUCCAGAAAUAAGUCUCUCACUGUUGCCGCCUGCUACCGACACCCCUCAGCUCCCAGCUGUGCCCUGGACAUCAUUUGUGAAUUGAUCGCCCCCCAUCUAGCUUCAGAGUUUGUUCUGCUAGGUGACCUAAACUGGGAUAUGCUUAACACCCCGGCAGUCCUACAAUCUAAGCUAGAUGCCCUCAAUCUCACACAAAUCAUCAAGGAACCCACCAGGUACAACCCUAAAUCUGUAAACAAGGGCACCCUCAUAGACGUUAUCCUGACCAACUGGCCCUCCAAAUACACCUUCGAUGUCUUCAAUCAGGAUCUCAGCGAUCACUGCCUCAUGGCCUGUAUGCGCUACGGGUCUGCAGUCAAACGACCACCCCUAAUCACUGUCAAACGCUCCCUAAAACACUUCUGCGAGCAGGCCUUUCUAAUCGACCUGGCCAGGGUAUCCUGGAAGGAUAUUGACCUCAUUCCGUCAGUUGAGGAUGCCUGGUCAUUCUUUAAAAGUAACUUCCUCACCAUCUUAGAUAAGCAUGCUCCGUUCAAAAAAUGCAGAACUAAGAACAGAUAUAGCCCCUGGUUCACUCCAGACCUGACUGCCCUCGACCAGCACAAAAACAUCCUGUGGCGGACUGCAAUAGCAUCGAAUAGUCCCCGCAAAAUGCAACUGUUCAGGGAGGUCAGGAACCAAUACACGCAGUCAGUCAGGAAAGCAAAGGCCAGCUUUUUCAAGCAGAAAUUUGCAUACUGUAGCUCUAACUCCAAAAAGUUCUGGGACACUGUAAAGUCCAUGGAGAACAAGAGCACCUCCUCCCAGCUGCCCAUUGCACUGAGGCUAGGUAACACGGUCACCACCGAUAAAUCCAUGAUAAUCGAAAACUUCAACAAGCAUUUCUCAACGGCUGGCCAUGCCUUCCUCCUGGCUACUCCAACCUCUGCCGACAGCCCCCCCCCCCCCCCCCCCCCCCGCAGCUACUCGCCCAAGCCUCCCCAGCUUCUCCUUUACCCAAAUCCAGAUAGCAGAUGUUCUGAAAGAGCUGCAAAACCUGGACCCGUACAAAUCAGCUGGGCUUGA